rnacentral:misc_RNA from 1 species
GGAGAAACCAUCUUUCCAAAUUCAGAGUUUAAAGAAUCUCAAGAAAAGGAUGACAGCUGGUCUGAUUGUGCUCAUAAGGGUUAUGCAGUUAAAGCGCAGAAGGGUGAUGCGUUGCUGUUCUUCAGCCUCCAUCUCGAUGCAACGACAGACGUCAAAAGCUUGCAUGGUAGUUGCCCUGUGAUUGAGGGCGAGAAAUGGUCUGCAACCAAGUGGAUUCACGUGAGAUCCUUCGAGAAGCCAACUCGUGUAGGUAGGCAGGAUUGUGUGGA